CUGCACCAUUACAAGUUUGCAACUGUUGGAAUUUUACAGCACAAUUUAUACUUAGGCUGAAGGGUGCAAGGGUGUACAAACAAGAUGGCUGCUCAGCAAGAAUCGGCCCAUUUACUGCAUAUAAUUGCACAAUAAAGAACACUUUGCAAAACAAAGGAAAAGCAAAGGAAGCAUCAGAAGAAAUGUUGCAUUUGCAAAGAAUACAAGCUGCUUGACCUGAGUCACUGAGUCUACAAAACUUUCAGAAUGAAAUCACAAAACCCAGUCUGUGCAUGUACGAAAGCUACCAAACGCAAACAGUGUCAGGGAGAUACCUUGCCAGGAGUAAUAGUCUUUACUAUCUUUCUUUUAUCUGAAACCUCUCUCAUCAACGUUUGUGUUGAAAACCAAGUGGAAAACAUAUCACCUCAAGUGGAAGGUUUCUAAAUGGAAAUGUCUUCAUUGCUGCAAUCCAAGAAUUUUUAAAGGAGGACACAGAAUCUACCACCACUGCCUCCAGCUGAAAAGAAUUCAACCAACCAUACUUAAUCCGGGAAGAAAUUCCAAUGCCAACAACCUACAUUCUUGUGACUUCUGCUACAGACCAAUAUUUGUGCAGUCUGUGAUUUUUUUUCCCCUGAACUGGACUGUUAUUUGGCUAAAGUAUGCUUAAAGUAACACUCUAUAAAGAGUUAUUUUUUACAGACUGGGAGUUCGUGUUUUUUUUUCCGAAAGAAAAUAAUAAAUGUAGAUACAUAGUUCAAUUUUUACACUUUUUGUAAGUCUUCACAUAUCUGUUUGAUUACAUUUUGUUUCUAAAAAACGACUUUUGAUUUGUUAUUGAAGGAACUUGGCUAACUUGUUUCUGGUCCUGAAUAUAUGUAAUGUAAUUAGCACUAUCAUGUCGCUUUGCAAAUUUAAAUUUUAUUGUAGCCAGUGAAGGAGUGGGACAAGGAAUAAGUUCACCUCCUAAUUUGAUGGUAACGUAAUAAAAUCUAAAGUACCUGUAA